rnacentral:rRNA from 1 species
GUCUGCGGCCCACGCCACCCUGAACACGCCCGGUCCCGUCCGAUCCCGGAAGCUCAGGAGGGUCGGGCCUGGUCAGUACUUGGAUGGGAGACCGCCUAGGAAGGCCAGGUGCUGUAGGCG